AUUGAACGCUGGCGGCAGGCCUAACACAUGCAAGUCGAGCGGAGCGGCGGACGGGUGAGUCAUGCCUAGGAAUCUGCCUGGUAGUGGGGGAUAACGUCCGGCAACGGGCGCUAAUACCGCAUCCUAUCAGAUGCGCCUAGGUCGGAUUAGCUAGUUGGUGGGGGAAAGGCUUACCAAGGCGACGAUCCGUAACUGGUCUGAGAGGAUGAUCAGUCACACUGGAACUGAGACACGGGCCAGACUCCUACGGGAGGCAGCAGUGGGGAAUAUUGCACAAUGGGCGCAAGCCUGAUGCAGCCAUGCCGCGUGUAUGAAGAAGGCCUUCGGGUUGUAAAGUACUUUCAGCGGGGAGGCGUUACCCGCAGAAGAAGCACCGGCUAACUCCGUGCCAGCAGCCGCGGUAAUUC
rnacentral:rRNA from 1 species